AUGGGUAUUAUGACUCAUUCUGUGGUACUCUAUUUGGAUAUGCCAUACAAUUCUAUAGUUAUGUGAUCCACACAAUGUCCAUACGGGUGGAUUUGGGUAAAAUGCUGCUCGUGCUGAGAUCGGAUUUCGUGAAAUAACACUCAUACAAAUAAUUUAAAGAUUUAGAUAAGAAGAAUUGAAUGAAUCUGCGCCCAGGACGACGCACGUGAACAAGCAAAAAAGCUGCUGCUGGCCACCACCACCGCACGAGUCACGACACCGGGUUGUAUGAUGGCUUUCUAACUACUAGCCACUACUACUAAUCCGAUGUUAGCUAGCCUAUUAUCUUUAUUUCUUGGUUCGUUAAAGUUGUUAUGCAAGCAAUGUCAUACAUCGUGCGUUUAGCUUACUAAAUUGAGCAGCUCUAGCUAGCUAGCUGUCGCAUACCAAUCUGACAGCACAGCUUAUUGGCUGGCGCAGCUCAAGUUAUUUUUACAUUUGGCUUAAUAAUUGCAAGUGUUUUAGAAGAGUAUCACUUGCGGAUAACCACAUUGCUAGCUCUAAAUUAUGUGUCCAAUUUACCAUGAUUAGAAAAGUAGUUAUAAUGAACACUCACCGAAUGUUUUUGCUCCUCUGUCACUGUGAAGCUAACCAGGAAGAAAACAAAAUAGCACUUUGAUUGACAAGCCAACCCACGAAUGCAAGCAAUGAGUAACGGAUGGAAGCAACCAAUGAAACGUCUCUGGAACAAACAGAGGGUGAAUGAUAGCUAUGCCCCUGAUGUGUCGUUGGUGCUUUGAGUGAUAAUCAUCUAGGGGUGAGUUGUGGUUGCAGCAGCCUUCAGGAAUCCUUUUUCCAGGAAUGAAAGAGCGGUGAGCUGAAGCUGAGCAAACCAGGUCAAGAGAUGAAUCAAAAUACUGUCAUAAUGCACAUUUGCUAUUCUCAAUCAUUCUCAAGAGGCAGAUACAGGGACAGGUAUAAAAUGGGCAGUUAUAAAAGAUCACAUUUUUAUUACAAAAUGGUUUAUCUAAAAACAUGUAAUUACUCUGUGGCAAAAUCAAUAGAUGAGGCUUAUACUUGAUUUUCACAUUUAAAAAGCAGAACAUUUCAUGGAAACACAAAUAAUGGUUCAUUAAUUUAGCAUAUCUUCUAGGUUCAUUUGGGUUUAUUGUAGCCUUCUGGAACGUAUUCAGUCUAAUGACUAAAAACAACAAUUCUAUAUUGAAUCAUAUUCCCUCAAGUCCAAAAUUAUAAACAAACAGAGACAGUGAUUUGUUUUUUUACCAAUACAAGAUUUUAAUGCUCCCUGUUAAACAACUUAACCAAAGUAUAACCACAAAAAAAAAGCGAAAACAUGCCACACUCUCUCGCAUUGCAUUCUUAUAUUGUUUCAAUUGGCCAAUUCCCCCGACCUUGAGACAUAGAUCAGUGAUCAUCAUAAAAAAGAACAACAAUAUUAAUGGAGUUAAUUUGGCUACUGUCACACAUGAAAACAGAUCCAUGUCAAAUCCAAAUAGCUCUGCAAAAUGGUAAAGCAAAUAAACCAUGAUAGAAAGCACACUCAUUUACACAUAAGGCAGUGUUGAAGGAUAUGAGGAAGCUUCACAAGCAGCAUUUUGCUGUUUGUUAUUGUGUUAUUCCUCAGUUCAAGAGAUGGUUAUUUCAGCAUCUCAAAGAUCUAUAAGGAAACCUAAGUUGGACCUGAAAUUGAUUACCACAAUGACAGUCUUUAGAAAAUAGAAAAAACCUUAGUGAGAUCAGCUAAAACUACACAACCUUGAUAAUGACCAAGUUACACUCCAGGAUUCAGAAAAAAAUAGGAAUGAAUAGGACACUCAGAUCAGCCACUUUUGCAGCAAGACUAUGGUCCGGAAAUCUUUAUGAUUCAUAUUAAUCAAAAAUCCCCCACAAUAAAAGCCAUGGUAUGAGGUGAAAUAGUGUAUUGUGUUUUUAAUUAAUGUGGUCCAUUUCUAAUGCAAUAAUCUUUCUUCAAUACUGUUU